rnacentral:rRNA from 1 species
GGUCAAGUUGUUAAGGGCACAUGGUGGAUGUCUUGGCUUCAGGAGCCGAUGAAGGACGUAGGAGGCUGCGAUAAGCCUCGGGGAGCUGUCAACCGAGCUGUGAUCCGAGGAUUUCCGAAUGGGGAAACCCAGCACCAGUGAUGUGGUGUUACCCGCCGGUGAAUAUAUAGCCGGUGUGGAGGGAACGCGGGGAAGUGAAACAUCUCAGUACCCGUAGGAAGAGAAAACAACCGUGAUUCCGUGAGUAGUGGCGAGCGAAAGCGGAAGAGGCUAAACCGUGUACAUGUCAAGCUGUCAGGCGUUGUGUGUGCGGUGUUGUGGGACCCAGCGUCGAGGAUCUGACAGUCCUCGGAAUGAUCAUGCAUGUUAGUGGAACCGUUUGGGAUGGCGGGCCGGAGUGGGUGAGAGCCCCGUACGCGAAAACAUGUGGUGGUUGUUUGUGUGGUGUUCCCGAGUAGCAGCGAGCUCGUGGAAUUUGCUGUGAAUCUGCCGGGACCACCCGGUAAGCCUAAAUACUUCCUGAAGACCGAUAGCGGACUAGUACCGUGAGGGAAAGAUGAAAAGUACCCCGGGAGGGGAGUGAAAGAGUACCUGAAACCGUGUGCCUACAAGCCGUCAGAGCCCGAGCACGUUGUGAGACGUUACGGUGAUGGCGUGCCUUUUGAAGAAUGAGCCUGCGAGUUAGUGCUGCGUGGCGAGGUUAACCCGUGUGGGGUAGCCGUAGCGAAAGCGAGUCUGAACAGGGCGAACAUAGUCGCGUGGUCUAGACCCGAAGCGGAGUGAUCUACCCAUGGCCAGGGUGAAGCGACGGUAAGACGUCGUGGAGGCCCGAACCCACUUAGGUUGAAAACUGAGGGGAGAGCUGUGGGUAGGGGUGAAAGGCCAAUCAAAC